CAGUGUGUUACUACAGUAGAUGGAGGUUAAAGGGAGAGUUCAGGUGUUUCUCAGUGUGGUUCUAUGAGGUUCUGAUCCAGAGUCAGUGUGUUACUACAGUAGAUGGAGUUUCUCAGUGGGGUAGUAUUCAGUAGGUGUACGUUAUAUUUAGAACAUUAACCUCGCUGUCAGACGGCCCUGUCUGACGGGGAACUGAAGCCGUUAUCUGUGCUCUCUUUAAAGCCACCAGACUCAUUGACAUAACAGUAAUUUGAGCUCUCAGAAGAGGGGAGUUGUUGGUCUACCGCCGCCUCCAUCAGUUAGUUAGUGUGAUUGUGUAGGGGGGGGGGAAUGGAUUCACCUAUGUAUCGAGAUUUUAUUUUUUACAAUUCAGAAAUAGAUGUUUUUAAUGUCAGACUGUGUAGAUGUGCUUCAUUUGAGUCUGUGGAAGUAGAAGGUAGUUACCUCUCUUAUACCUCUCUUGUUUUGUUGUUUAGUCUCAACGACCUCUUCUCUGGGAUUUUUGUCACGUGACGAUAAAUAGCUUGAAACUUAGUUGAAGAUCGUCGUGACAAAGAUAGAAUGGUUCUCUGGGGUAACUUGUAGUAAUAUGAGCCUCUCUGCAGCCGUCUGAUAAACCUUCACAUUACUCACUUGAAUCAUAAACCUCUUUAUGAGCAGUAGACUAACUAACGUGCUGGUGGGUUGGGGAUCUGGCUUUUGGGAAGUUUGGUGAUGCAACAUCUCUGAGGGGGUUUAACUCUUCCUCUGCAUGACCCCGGAGAAGUGAAGUGUGCUAAAGAGUGA